rnacentral:rRNA from 1 species
UACGGAGGGAGCUAGCGUUGUUCGGAAUUACUGGGCGUAAAGCGCGCGUAGGCGGCUUUGUAAGUUAGAGGUGAAAGCCCGGAGCUCAACUCCGGAACUGCCUUUAAAACUGCAUCGCUUGAAUCCAGGAGAGGUGAGUGGAAUUCCGAGUGUAGCAGUGAAAUGCGUAGAUAUGUGGAGGAACACCGAUGGCGAAGGCAGCCCCCUGGGUUAACACUGACGCUCAUGCACAAAAGCGUGGGGAGCAAACAGG